CCUGCCUCUAGAGGCUUUGCAGAUGUGGCCGCUGUGGCAUGUAUGUAGGUGGCAGUAGGUGGCAGAGAGGAGAGAGGCUAUGUCUAUUCUCAGUAUUCUGACCUUUGAACAUCUGAAUGAUUAGUAGCUCAACAUU